UACGGAGGGGGCUAGCGUUGUUCGGAAUUACUGGGCGUAAAGCGCACGUAGGCGGCUUUGUAAGUUAGAGGUGAAAGCCCGGGGCUCAACUCCGGAAUUGCCUUUAAGACUGCAUCGCUAGAAUUGUGGAGAGGUAAGUGGAAUUCCGAGUGUAGAGGUGAAAUUCGUAGAUAUUCGGAGGAACACCAGUGGCGAAGGCGGCUCACUGGUCCAUUACUGACGCUGAGGUGCGAAAGCGUGGGGAGCAAACAGG
rnacentral:rRNA from 1 species